rnacentral:rRNA from 1 species
GACGAACGCUGGCGGCGUGCUUAACACAUGCAAGUCGAACGGAAAGGCCCUGCUUUUGUGGGGUGCUCGAGUGGCGAACGGGUGAGUAACAAGUGAGUAACCUGCCCUUGACUUUGGGAUAACUUCAGGAAACUGGGGCUAAUACCGGAUAGGAGCUCCUGCUGCAUGGUGGGGGUUGGAAAGUUUCGGCGGUUGGGGAUGGACUCGCGGCGUAUCAGCUUGUUGGUGGGGUAGUGGCUUACCAAGGCUUUGACGGGUAGCCGGCCUGAGAGGGUGACCGGCCACAUUGGGACUGAGAUACGGCCCAGACUCCUACGGGAGGCAGCAGUGGGGAAUAUUGCACAAUGGGCGGAAGCCUGAUGCAGCAACGCCGCGUGCGGGAUGACGGCCUUCGGGUUGUAAACCGCUUUCGCCUGUGACGAAGCGUGAGUGACGGUAAUGGGUAAAGAAGCACCGGCUAACUACGUG